rnacentral:lncRNA from 1 species
GUCCUUGGCGAGGCAGUUGGAGAGUGCCAUUGAAGAUGCCAGGCGACAGGUGGAGCAAACCAAGGAACAGGCGCUCUCCAAGGAACGAGCAGCCCAGAGCAAAAUCCUGGACCUUGAGACCCAGCUGAGUAGGACCAAGACAGAACUUGGCCAGCUACGCCGGACUCGUGAUGAUGUGAGUUGGGCCAGUGGGCAGCGCUUUCUCGGCUGCAGGUGGAUCGAAGAUACCAGAGCCGUCUGCAGGAUCUGAAAGAUCGCCUGGAGCAGUCUGAAAGCACCAACCGCAGCAUGCAGAAUUACGUCCAAUUCCUCAAGUCCUCCUAUGCAAAUGUGUUUGGGGAUGGGCCCUAUACAUCCUCCUACCUGACCAGCUCACCCAUCCGCUCUCGGUCUCCUCCUGCCUGAGGCCACCUAUCCAGGGUCUGAAGCCCUUGCAGGAUGCCAGACAACUGUGGCGUUACCAAACCAUAGCUAGCAAGCCCACUGGGUCUCAGAUGCGAUCAGGGGUCUGUUCCUCAACUAAUGCCAGCAAAGACCCUAGAGCAGCCAGGGAUGAAUCAGGAGGGCUCUGGUUCUCUCUCCUGAUCUGGGAACCUGGUGGAAUUUUCUAAUGAUCUUCACAGCCUUAUAUUUGCUAU